GGAAGGGAAAGAAACCUCACCUGGGCCUCUCUCAAAUGUUACAGUGACAGGGGCCUCUUAUAGUAUGCCCGGUGGGCACAGCUUCACUAUGUGCCCAUAGGGAGCCAGGAGCAGGUGGAAGAAGGCUUCAAGGAGCUCCCUUCACUAAGCACAGGAGCGAGAGAUCUCAUUCCAAGGGAAAGAACGCUUCUGAGAUUAACAGCGCAAGACGCUUGUGCGAACGUCCCGAGGCGACAGAACAAAAACUUCAUGAACUGAGGGCUCCAACCAGGUUCACCGACCCACGGAUCCUGAGGCUGGACAUCUGAGGUCAAGCUGUCUCAGGGCUGGGUCCUCUGAGGCAGCUCCUCUUCGCCCGCAGAUGUGUCCUCAAUGGGUCCUCCCUCUGUGUGUCCUGAGGACACAGUCCUGCUGGCUCAGGCCCACCCUAAGGGCUUUGUCUCCCCGCAAGCACCUCUGUGAAGACUCCAUCUCCAGAUGAGAUUGCCUGCUGUGGUCCUGUGUGGUCUCGAACAGAUGGACUUGUGUGGACUUACAUGUGACCGCCGACAGAAAUUUCCCCCUCUUGGGGCUCCGUGACCGGGAUGUAUUUGGCUAAGGGCAAGAAUUCGAAUGUCCACUG
rnacentral:lncRNA from 1 species